CGAGGGCCAAGGCGAGACAAGAUGACAGCUGAACCUGCCCGGGAGCAGCGGCGCCCACCCAUCCUUACUGUGGACUCUCAGUGCCCCCACCGAGCUUUCAAACUUGAAAGAGGCCCCUGGGACCCGGCGUGACCCUGGGGGUGGGGAGAAGUUGGGCCGGCGAGGCCUCAGGCGAAGCCGCAGGCUCCUCCGGAAGGAAGGGGGAGGGUGCAGUCCCCUGUCCUAGUCCCAGGGGUGGGAGUGGGAAGCUGUUGGUGGUGAUGCCCGGAGCAGCGGAAGCCCGCGGCUUUUCGGAGGAGGGGAGCGGCUCGCACUCCUACGGGGCAUCCGUGCCAACUUUCUGUCACAAGAGGGGGCGGGGAGAAACCAAGUCUUUUCGAGGAGGGCGCUGUCCCCCUCUGGAACUCGUCCGGCCUGAGCGGCACUUAGAGCUGUUUCUCUUCGGAAGCCUGUGCUCCCCUGCCGCGGUGGCACACCUACAGGGCGCCCCACUUGUGCUCAUAGCCCUGCCUCCAGCAAAAAUGUCUUCCCCAGAGGCACUGAGAGGUCAGCUCAGUUCCUGGGAAGCCCUUUCUUUCUAUCUUCAAGGUUCUCGUUUGAUACUGGUCCCACUUGGCACACUUGUCCUGGGCCUAAUGCGACCCACACUCAACCAGGAAAUAAUGAUAUCUUUUGUUGUGGGGUAGGAUACCUAACAGAAAACUGAUCACAGUUUUCGAGAGUACUUAGAUCCCCCAAUUGGGAAAUCCUACAUACUUGUCCAGGCACGCUCAGCUGCAGGAGCAGAAAACGCAGUUUCAGUGCUCACUUUUAUUUCACCCACCCACUCUUCUUCAGAUCUUCCUCCCUUCUAGGCCCGGCCCUUCACCUCGGAACCUUAAACUAAGUCUGGACGUGGUUCUUGGACUCAGACCGCUGUGGCUUUUGCCUCAGCAUCCUACCUGAGGCCUCCAGCCAGGCCCACCGGGGCUCAGCCCUCUCCAGGCUCUCUCUCUCGGUUUGGCGGGUCUGGGAACUCUAAGGGCCUCACCGGGGCCUGGGCUCCCGGGAGCCUCCCGUCCUUCCUCUGCCUUCCUGUUCCCCACAGACCUGUUCAGUGCACACUAGAUCUUUAGUGUAGUUCCCCCAAAAGGCAAUGAGAAGGUACCGCUCUGCUUGGGGAAAGGAAUUAGGCUGUAAGCCUAUAGUACCCUUUGCGGGCUGCUAGCAUCAAGCUCAGCGUUAAUCACGUUUUAAAAGACAUACCAGACAAAGGUUGAUCUCUCCCAGCUCUCCACCCAGUAAAUUGUUGUGAUCUGGUGAGAGAGGAAGAGAAGCACAGAUCGGUUUGGCUGCACAUUCAGGGAUGACUUGCGUUCCAGACCCUAGAGUCCGGAUCUAAGCGGACUGUCUAGCCUGUUAAGGUACUCCCUCCCUCCAUAUCUUUCUUUACGAGGCUGAACCGUUUUCACUAAUUCUAUAGGUUUUUUUGAUAUUGAUAUCUUGGUCUCCCGAAAGUCAUUCAUUUUAGCUUUUUGGUAAGUCACACUGAACAAAAGUGACCUUGUAAAAACAUUUUCCAAAUCUAGUUCAAGAGCCAUGGGACCCUACAAAUGAUCAGAUAUGUGUAGGAAAUUCUCUUUUUUACCUCUUCCCUACCUCAAAAUCGUUAAAAAUGGUAUUAUUCUGUUUAGCAAGACCACAGAACAGAACUAAGCCCGUUUUAUCGAGCCCAUCUGGAGAGAUGAACAUGCCUGCAAUCAUUGAGAAAAAGGUCAGUGCCUCUGAUCUUGCUGCAGACCUUUCCCAAAGAGCUUAUUUGAAAGGUGCCGAAUCAAUUAGUCUCCCCUGGCAUGAGAUUAAAGCCAGGAAGGACAUAGUUGAAGAUGUAUUUAAAAUGGUCUCGCACAGAUCUUUUGGAAGAAAGGGUGGAGAGAGGCGCAGGAAUGCCCAUCUAAUAUUUUGUGAUUACUAAAACACAAAACCAAAACAAACAAACUAAACCCCAGCCUAUCUCAGAAAUCUUUACCCCCAGGACUGAACCCAGCCUAUAUUGUGGCUGCCCAGUUGUAAAAAGUCCUGCCUUUAUCAACAAAAAACCAGGUGGACAGGCCAAGUUAGGAGUCAGGCUUCUGCUGGACUGCCUACCCUUAGCCUGUACAUGUAGUCAAACCGUGAACCCAACAGACUCCAGUGUUUACUAUCGCUCUGGUAGCCCAGGCAUUUCUUCUUUGUCACCUUUGGGUUGAAAUGCUCAGAGUUAAGUGCUAUACCUUAGUUUAGUUUUCUAUCUCAAACCGGUCAUUUAAAGCACGUGUUUGGAAAAAGAGAGAUAAGGGAAGCACUUCCCCUUUUGGCCUAGGCCCCCAGUUAGAGGGCCCAGGAGAAGCAGCAGGAGGAAGGAUGGCAGGAGAGCAAGCACUGACCUUUGGAUGCAAAUCAAGCCUUUUUAGAGGAGGAAAAGUGACAAUCAUUCUCAGCACACCAGUGAAACCAGAGCCAAAUAUUUACUUUUUAUAAAAAUCAAGUCUUAGCUAUCUAAAUGCAUUUAUGCAAAAAGAAAGAAAGGAAAUAAUUGGAGACUUUUAUGUUACAAAAUGUAUUUAUUUUAAAUACCCAGCUUGAGUGAAGAAUAAAACUGCAUGGCUAUUCUUCACUAUGGGUUAGGUCUGGAUGAAAGUUGAAGUUUUGAAAUGAGUUUGAAGGUUGUUGGAGUACCCUGACAAUAAAAUCAACUGCUCUACUGCUCUAUAUAAUCAUUUCCCUUAAUAGUUACCUGUCAGAGCACCUAUUUCUUUUACUACAGGAUUAGCCCAUCAGAAGUAGAUCUGAGUUGGAUAUUUUACUGACUAAAGACUGCUCUAAUAUGUUUAAGUCUUUAAUGUCACUUUCUUUACUGCCUAUGAGAUAAACUAGUGGAAAAGUAUUGGCUCAAAAAGCCAGCAGAUCUGCUGGUGUUACCAGUCAUGCUGCAAUGGUAUAUACCUAUCAGAAGGUUGAUCUAAAUAAUAAACCUAACAUUUCGUCUAAACUGUCAGUGGAAAGAUAUAUUUAUUACAAUGUCCUCCAUCAUUGAGGAGAGAGGGGUUUAGGUAAAGUUUAAAAAAAAAAAAAGCAUAAGCAUAGUACAACACUGAUAUAAGCAAUAGAACAGUAAACAAUUAUGCUAUGUAUAUUUUAUUUACCCAUUUCAAAGGUGGAACAUAAACCUAGCCCAUCUUUGGGGGGAGUUAAUAAAGUAUUCCAAAUGCAUGAUCUAACAAAACUCGGGGAUCGUUCUAUGUUUUAUUGUUACCCCCCUGCAUAAAAUCUUCUGAAGCUGAAAAGAGAAAGGAAAGGGCUUUUGUGUUAGUUGAUCCUUGGCUAUUCUAGGGCUCAGGUUGGUGUGAAAGGGACGAGGAGGUCACUUGAAAUCUCCUUUUAUCUACUCUUAUUUUCUCUCUGGAUCAGCAACUUUGAAUAGACAUCAUCUAAUCGCUCUUAAUGGAAAGAAACUAUGGGAGCAACAAAAAUGCCUUUACUCCAGGAGUGAAUACAUGCAUGCGGACAGCUAGCUGAGCUUUCAUAGAACUGAAUCUCUGCACACAUGUACUUAAAGAUUUUUCAGUUCAUGGAUAUAUACAUAAAUAUUUCCCAUACAUGGGAUUAGGUGAUUAGGUGGGUUAUUUUGCCCUUACGCAUAAGUAUGCACACAUGUCUACCUUAGAAUUCUCUAACAAGCAAGUCUAGGUGAUACUUUCAGCUGACUCUUCAUUCAGCUUUUUCAUGCCGUCACUCUCUGGGCAUAUUUAAGUACUGAAAAAAAAAAUAAUUAAGAACACAAUGGACAGCUUUUUCCAGAAGUCAUCUUAUUUCCUUUCUGUUUUCAACUAGAAGUCACAGUGACAGGAGGAUUUCUCUUCGGGGGAGGAGAGUGUGUGACAGGUGGGAGGUAAUGGGGCAAGACAAGACCUUUACUUUCAAUUUCUCCCCACAAUUUUUUCUUUUUGUUUGGAGUUAAAUUGGUUAAAAUACAAUAAAUAGUGGAAAAUAAGAGCCUGACAUUAGGCAGUUUAAAAGUUUUACAUGCUAUAGACACAUGUCUCCAAAUUCUUGAAGCUGAGGAAUUAAUCAUAAUUUUUUGAGAUAGGAAUUAAUAAGUCUCAUAUGCUGGUUAAAAUGUCCAAGUUGUCUUCCUUAGGCAUUGUUAUAGUAUUUACUUCAAAAAGAAAAACAUCUCCCAGGACAUUUAAUAUGAAUGAUAAUCCAGAAAAGGACAUUGGAUUUCUAGGACUGAAAGCACUGGGCUUUACCUCCUAAGAGGUGGAUGCUCCCCCUACCCUAUGUUCUUCUAAGUAAAAUUCUCAUUGCUCCCAGAGCUUGGGACACUUUAAUGUAAAAUUCCAUCAAGGGAAUACACGGUUACCAGGGCUACAAGUUCCCAUCUCAACCUGCCAACCUCUCUUCCUCUGGCUCCAGAUCCCAGAGCUGGAGCUGUCAGGGCUGGGACUUGGGGGACACCCCCCUAGGCUGCAGGCGAUUGCAGUUCUAAAGUUUGAAGUUGGGUGGGGGAGGAUUAAUCCCUCUUUAACUCCUUUCCUUCCCACCCUCAAUUCUGAACCCCAACGGAUACGUUUCCCCGGGUUUCCUAGUGAAUAGGAGCAUAGGAGCCGCCCUGUCCAAUAAAGAUUAAAUUAAGUAGAAGAAUCCCAGCCGCUGGAUAUUUGGAAGCUCCGGUGGGGCGUCAAACCGACGUUUAACACAUUUUUUCCACUCACUGUGCACAAAUCCUGGACCUGUUGGGCUUAACUUUUAGAAAGAAAGGAAGAAAAAAAUAUAAGAAAGGAAGGGGAAAAAAUCAAAGAAAGUCACAGAGAAACCCCGCUUUCAAGGGGGAAGUGGUUUUAAACUCAGAGAGGCUGAGGCAGAGGUUGGGCUUCCUGACCUUUCCUGUCUUUUCUUUCCUCGAAUCACUCCCAGAAUUGGAUCCUGUCCCCCACUCCCUCAGGGCUCAGAACUUUUCUGUUUUGGCGGUCUGACUCUAUGUUUAUUCCUUAGGGACGGUGUGGUGGCCCAGGGUCAUGACUGGAUGUGUGGGCAAGGGGCGAAUUGAGAACACAGUGGCUUUCUCUGUGGUGACAAUUUCUAUUUUUUUAAAUAAAGGUUUUGGUAGCAUGAACUGAGCAGUUUUCUCCGGUUACUGUCUAGCAGGAGAAACAAUGGUUUUCUCUGUAGGCUUUCAGCCACUGGACAACUAACUUUGAAGCUGAGGCCCAGUCUGGUGCCUCCUCCCCCGGGGGCCAUCCCGGCCCCCAAAUAUUGGCUGCUCACUCCCAUCUGCUCUUCUAGCCCCUGGGCGCAGUCCAGAGGGGCAAAAGGCAAGUCCCUUCAUGGCAAAGGCUUGUCCAUGCAAACACAACAUUGAAUAAAUUAACCUCAAACCAGCUAGUUGGGGUGUAGUAGUUUAGCAGGACUAAUUGCAGACAAUGGAGCUGAAAUGACUUUUCCAAUUAGCUGCUGGUUGGAGUUUAGUUGGAGGAACUGUCAGCUCCAACGAUGGGUAAUUGCUUUAUUGCUCACAAAACUAUCAUCUAUUUAGAACAUAUGUGCUAAUUACUCUGGAUGGGCGUCGAAAAAGAGACCAUAAAUCUAAUAGCACUUAAAAAAGUCUAUGGUGCUUGCAAGCCGCCCCAGCCCCUUGCACAUUCUCUCCUGCCCAGGUUGGAGUGAUAGAUGGCUGUCUUUCAGGAAGGGAAGGUUUGGACAGGAGGCGAGGACGGAGUGCUCUGGUCAAAUCACUUGGAGAGAGACCAUCCCGUGCGUGCUGUGCUGAGGCGAUAAAUCACUGUCAUCAAAACCGGUCCCCUCUUUAGUCGCGCACUUUUCAUUUUCGCAAAAGAUUACUUUAGAAAUCUUUUAAUUGGAUUAUGCUGGGAAAUUAAUCUCCUUUAGCCUUGGCUAAAUUUAUUGUGGCCACUGACUGAAGGAAAACCCUGUCACUGCAGUGAGGGCCAUCUCCCCUUGUUCGUUUUUCCGCCGUCUUCCAGGAUCUCCCAGUUGCGUGUGACAGUCGUGCCCCAAGUCCUCGGGAGUGACUGGAGUGAGAAAGGGUGGAAAGACACAUCUGGGCAAAGGCCAAGGAAGUCCCCAGUGAAUCCCCUUUGUCCUAAAUGCUACGUUUCUGUCCCGGAUUCCCUAAUUCCAUAUCCUGCAUCCCCACACGACCUUGCCUUUACCAACAAGGGGUUCUGGAAGCCUGCUGCCGGGAAGGAGUCUGGAGUGGCAGGAAGAGAAAGUGGGGUGUGUCGGGGGAGCACUGCCAGCCAAACUCACUAGUUUGCUCUCUCCCCCGCACUCCCUUUCUGGGCCUUCGGCAGGGAGCUGCGGUCUUGCGAAGACUACUUCUCUGCGCAAAAACGCACAGCUCGUUCUUGGUGUUCGUUCUGGCACAGCUCCGGAGACACGUCCCCUUGAAGUGCAUGGCGCUUGAGGCCACGGGUCUAGGGCACUUCUCACUCCUUCUGGCUCCUCUGGCACCCGCUCAUUGUCGGGCGGCGACCUCCCUUCCAGCCUCGCCGCCCUGCGCGGUCAGCCUAGUCCAGCGCGACUCCGGCAGUCGCGGGAAGCGGAGGAUCCGGCCCCGCCGGCCGCGCCUCUCAGCGGGAGAUAACAACAUCUGCCUGAAACGGGAUACCUACUUUUGCAGCUCAUUUGAGCUCUUAAUAGCAGCCCUCUGAGGUGUGGUUAAUUGAUGGGGAUAAAGGCGUAAUGACUUAACGGGGAGACGCCAAUGAUCCUUUAAUAUACUUUUAAAAGAACAACCACCACCCCCAAACACCAACCUGUCUUUGCUCGGUGGGGGGAAAAGGCAGGGAUCUGGAGGCUGGAAUAAGGAUCUGGCGCUGUUGGUGACUGUACCUGGAAGCGUCAGUGUGGGGUAGAUGAAAGUCAAGAGAAAAGGUGUGGAUAAAUGAAACUAGCCCAUGAUAAGCCUGUUUUCUCCGUGACCACAAUAUGAACCAGGAUGAUGGUGGUGGCAGUGGGCUUGCAUCACAGGUUGCAGCAGAUGUUCUCAAUAUCUCUAUUAAAAUUUCCUUAUUUCCGUAUGUGAGAGGAGCUCCAGAGCCGCAUCCUUAUGGUAGCUACCAUGCCGUGAUGUAAGCUGCCAUUCACUGGGAGCUUUGGCAAGAGAAUUGGCUAGAUCAGCAAGCCCAUCUCCACUAUGGAACAACAACUUGCAGCUCAUCUCUAUUGAUGUUAUUUCUUCCACUGACGUCUUGAACCCCUCAAAGUCAUGCACGAGGCUUGGAAUCAACUUCUUCCAAGCUCCUGCUCAUGUUGAUAUUUUGAUCUCCUUUUAUGAAACAUGGAUGUUCUUAAUAGCAUCUAGAAUGGGAAAUCCUUUCCAGAAGGCUUUCAAUUGACUUUGCCCACAUCUAUCAGAGGAAUUGCUAUCUACGACAGGUGAAACAGUCACAAAUGGAAUAUCAAGAAACAUGCUAUGUAAGUCCUGGUUUUGAAAUACUUUGUCAUCCUAAGAAGCUUGGACUUUAUCCUGAGGUCAAAGAAAUGAAAAAUCAGAUCAUUCCAGCUGCAGUAUGGAAAAUAGAGUGAAGUGGGGUAACACUGGUGUAGUGGCGCAAAUUAAGCAUAUACGUAAGAGAGGAUAAUGACCUGAACUAGGGUUAAAGUAGUGGGAAUGGAGAUAAAUAGAUAGUUUGAGAGAAAUUAAGAGGAUAGAAUGACUAGGACUUGGCAAUUGACUGGAUAUGGGGGGCCUGGUGAAUGAGAGUCAGGAGUCAAGACUGAUGGUCAGGUUUCUGACUUGGGCAGUGGGUACAUAGUGAUGCUUGUAUAAAGAUUGAGAAAGUAAAAAGGAAAGUGAGUGUCAAGCAGUUUCAAGCAGCAGUCAGCUGCUAGGCUGGCUCAUCACACUUCUGUAGAUUCCGUUGAGAAGGAAGCAAUGAGCCUAGAUAGAUUUAGACAGUUUAUUACUCAAAGCAAAAAGGCAGCAUGAUCUUCAUGCUUUUAUGAAUUCCCCAAGUCCCAUGAUACAGAGUGAGGCCCAGAUAGAUGCUGUAUACACAGUGGACCUGUGUCCUCCCAAUCUUAUAAGAGGCUACUUGCAAACUUGCCCAAAAUCAUUAUCCUGGAGGAUGACACUAUCUUUGUUAUGCUGGCCAGGAAACAAAGGUACUCUCUAACCCAGAAGCAUAUCCUGUCUUUACUCAGAGACAAAUAAAAACACCAUGGACAAUUACCUCUCAACAGUAAGAGAAUGCUUUCCAUUUUGGACAUAAUGAAUUUGAAAUGCCCAUGAUAUCUAAAUAAAGAUAUUCAGUAGAUAAUAAUCUGUUUUUAAGGAUAUUUGGUAUAGUAUUUAUAGAAAUGAGAUAAUAAAACAAUAAAAUAUAUAAACUUUGGAUAUGUUAAUAACAUGAUAGUUGCUUGUAAGAUAGUUACAACAGGUAGUUACUGUGUUGUCUAAUUAAACAUCAUGAUAGCAUCUUAAUAUGUGUAAGAUUUAUAAUUUUAUUCAUCACAAACUGAAUUCACCUAGGCUUAGUCCUCUGCUGCUUAUGAGGUUUGAUGAUCUGCUAACAAUCUCAGAAAAUGAGAGAGUUGUGUGGUGGCAGUAUGUUUAUAACACACUAUGGAACUGGCCUUAUAACUGUAACUUUUGCCUGCUUUUAGUCUAGACCAGCCCUCUUCAGUAGAAAUAAGAUAAAUGCAAGCCUCAAAUAUGAGCCAUAUACAUAAUUUAAAAAUUUCUAGUAGCCACAUUAAAAAACCUUAAAAGAAGCAAUGAAAUUAAUUUUUAUAAUAUACUUUUAAGCCCAGUUUAACAAAAUACUGUUUCAACAUGUAAUCAACAUGAAAUUAUUAGUCAGAUAUUUUACAUUUUUUUCAUGCUAAAUCUUUGAAAUCCAGUGUGUAUCUUACAUUUACAGCUUAUCUCAAUUUGGACUUGAUAGAUUGCAAGUGCUCAAUAGCUAUGUGUAGCUAUCGACCACUAUAUUGGACAGUGCAGUUCUAGACCUCAAGAACAAGAAGUUAUAUUUUAUCAUGUAUGAUGAAUAUAGUUUUUCUUUGUAUGUUAGAGGACUAAAUACUGUGGUAUGCUUUUUAUCUUAAACAGUUGAAUACCGAGAAUAGCUAACAUUAUAAUGAAGAAACAAAUGGCCAGUGAAUUUACAUGGUAUUUAAUUUUUUUUUUGGAGAUCAUGAGUUUCACUUAAAAUCAGCUAGAUAUUACUGUGUCUAAAACAGGCAUCUUGGAAGGUAAAUUAGGCCUGUAGGUUGUAUCAUUAGGUCCUUGAGUAUAAACCACUCCAGAAUUUCACUAAGUGGACCAGGUAACCAGGGGAUUUAAAGUAUAGUUAAUGUUCAUCCUUUACCCUUGGGAAUACAUUACAUGUUGGUAGAAUUUGUUCCAUUAUUUUAUACAGUGAGGUGCCUCAUCAUUUUGUGGCUUGUGAACAUUUACUUAUUUACUAUGUUGACAAAUGUAUUGGCUUUACAAUACAGAAGCAUGAAACAUCUCAAAAACCUAAAAGAUUUCUGUUAAGUAAUUUAAUGAAAAACAGACAUUGAGGGGAAAAGUCAGCCAUCCUAUGUGCCCUCAAUACAGCAGUUGGAAAUAAUAUACUUUUGAAUGUCUGAAAUAUGUUAGUGGUUUUAGAAAAAGACUAGGUAAGUCAUUUGAGAAACUUAAGAAGACCUACUAAGACACUGGCAAUACAUGGUAAUAACUUACUGAGUUUGCUUUGGGUAAACUCAGUGAGUCAUGGAACUUGCUAUGCACUUUAGUGAGGAUACCUUUAAUCCUAAUUGAUGAAAUGCAGUCACUUUGAAUUGUAUGUUGAGGGAAUGUUCUCAGGGAAAAGAGAGUUUCUGUGCUGAAUGACUGAGUUAAAGCACUUGACUAGUCAUAAAGGCUGUGGGUAUCCCUUUCAUGUUGAUUAUUAUCUGUGAUUGUUUGUUGAGGGUUUUCUGUUUGUUUUUUAAAACACUUUGGAAAAGCAAAUGGUGAGUGUUACAAUUUAAACAGAUUUUCUUUUAGAGAAUGUUUCAAAGGAAAAGACAAAUAGUUCUACUUUAUCCUUGUUCGUUGAUGCUUUCAUUUGAUUUCAUAUUUAUUGAUACUAACAGCUUUAAACAUUAGAUUAAUUCUAUAACAAAGUGAUACAGAAUUGGAUGUGCUAUGGGGAAUAGUAUUAAAUAAGGAAUACAGAAGCAGUAGGGUGGGUAGCAUCUACUUUGUUUUCAUGACCCAGAAGGACUAUGUGUAUGCCAUUAGGCAUUUUAUGGAGUUUGUCAAUCCACUAUGGUAAAAUAAUCCAACAAGGGCUAAUGCCAUGUUUGUGACUUAACCAUUGAUCGGUUAAACCAAUUGUCUUACUUUAGAAUGAAACCUUGGGAAUGAAGGGGUUAUCAUCAAAGGAGCUUUACUAUAAUGAAGUAGUCAGAGAAGGCCUCCCUGAGAAGAGGAUGAUAGUACUAUGACUUGAAGGAAAUGGGGGAGUGAGCCCUGAUGGGUCAUCAGGAGGGGCAUUCUAGGUAGAGGGUAUGGUGGGUUCCAAGCCCUACUGCAGGAGCAUACCCAGUAGUUUGCAGAAACAGUAUGGUGACCAAGUAGUCAUAGAAACAAAGGGGCUACUAUCAUUUAUUGUCUUCUCUAUUUUCUAGGUACUAUUUAUACAAACUUGACUUGAAAUGAGGCAAAUAGGGGGAAAAGUGUUAUAGUGGAACAAUCUAUUUUAAACCUUAAAAAUCAUUGCUUGGAAAUAAAUCAGAAAACAAAUAAAGUGAUAGUACAGCUCCAAUUAUGAUGGGACAUGUCAGAAAACCAUGGGAGUCAGAUCCAAGGGCUUCUCACUGGCCAAACUCAGACAAUUUGAGUUUCGAAAUAAUGAGAAUAAUAGAUUUCAAUCCAUAAAAUAAAAAUAAAAAAAAAUGAAUUCACACUUAAACAAGUAAGGGAGUAGGAUACUAACUGAUAAAUGUAGGAGGAAUGAUAAUGUUAGAAAAUCACCAUUUUGCAACCACUAUAACCAUUAAACAGAUUAUCAGUGGAUGCUAAACCAGUGGAUGAGAAUCUGAUGAAGACCAGCAUAUUUACAAGGUUCUAAAAAGCAUCUAUCUGUAAAUUACUUUUUAAUUACAAAGCAUAAAAUAGGUUUUAAUUACAAAGAACUUUAUAGUGGACUAACCAGGUAGAUACCACCUUAACAACUUAAGUAAUCAGAGUUAACAUUGCCAAUAAUUGGACAAACCAACAUCACAUACUUCCUGAUGUGAUUCACUGAGAAGAACACAACAUCAUUUAUAUAAUAUUGCUGUCAAAAUUAUGUAACCUAAAUCUAAUUAUAAAAAAAAUUAGACAAGCCCAAAUUGAGGGAUUUUUACAAAGGAAAUUGCAUGUAGUAUUUACAAAGGUCAAUGUUGUGAAACACAAGGAAAGGAUGAUUCUGGACCAGAAAAACAAAAAUUGCCCAUACAGCACAUUUUGGGGGCAAUUGGAAAAAUUAAAAUAAGUUCUCCACAUUACAUUAGAUAAUAGCAUUAUAUCAAUAUUAAAUUUCCUGAUUUUGAUUAUUGCGCUUUGACCCUGUAAGUGAGUAUCUUUUUUCUUGGGAAAGGCACACAGAACUGCUUACAGGUAAUGAAAUAUGGUAUCUGCAAUUUACUCUCAAACAAUUUAGAGAAAAAAGUUAUACAUAGAGAGAGAAGAGAAAGGGAAGGGGAAGGGCAAGAAAGAAUGAUAUAGCAAUUGUGUCAAAAUGUUAACAAUGUGGGUCAAACACAUACAGGAGUUCUUUAUACAAUGCCUGAAACUUUUCUAUAAGUUUAAAAUUAUUUGAAAAUAAAAAGUUGGAAACAAAAUGUGGUAGUGGGCUGGAUGAAUUGGGCCAGGAACUCCCCUUCUGUUUGGUGCCCCUCUUCGUCCGUUUUCUUUUAAGAAGGACCCUGGGGCACCCCUGAAAAUAAUUUGAAGAUCAUUGCACUAAACUGAUCAUCCCUUCCAGCAAUGAAAAAAGGCAAAAGCCAAUAGUUUUAUAGGUAAUAAGAAAGGACAUGCUAAUAUUUCAUUAGCUGUAAGAAGAGACUACUUGUCCUUUUAAUUUUAAAUAUUGCUAAUGUGCAGAUAUUAUUGGUAAAUAUCGAUAGACACCAAAAAAAGAGCAUAUGGGAAAAAAAGAGCAUAUGGAAGAAAAUAAGGCAAAGUCUAUACUUGGCCUGAGGGCUCUGGGAAUUGUGAGGGAGUCUGCAUGUAGGUCAUUAGGAAGAUUUUUAAGUAGCGGCAAUAAAUUUUACUUUUGGUAAAAGUAAAUACAUGAAACUGAAAUGAGGCAUAGGAAGGAGUGAAAUGUGGAAACUCUGAUCAGCAUGAUUUAAGUUUAUAAUCAUAGUAAGGAUGGCUCCUCUCACUAAAUGACAAGGUCAUAGUGACCUUUAAAAGCUAGAGGACAGAUGAAAAAUGAUUCAGAAUAGACAAGGAAGCAGUCAAAAGCAUUGAGCAAUGUCAAAAGCAUCCUACUUCAGGCCACUUUGACACUUGUACUGAGUCGGUACCAUCUAUAUACAGUCAUGCGCUACAUAAUGUCAUAGGUUUGUAUAAGUCCAUCCUAUGAUGUUCACAUAAUGAUGAAAUUGCCUAACGAUGCAUUUCUCAGAACAUAUCCCUGUUGUUAAGCAAUGUGUGACUGUACUUGGAGAUAGCAUUCAUUACAUCAAAAGAGAGGAACCCUGCCUGAGCCAGGUAUCAUUUCUUUGUUUCUUAGAGUUAACAACAUAAUCCCCAGUCAGUAUAGUACUUUGAGAAGAACAUAAUUUGAAGGUCUAGAAAACAAUGUGGAACUACUGGAAUUAUGGAAUUAUCAUAGGCAUGUAAUUAGCAUAUAGAUUGUUUUAGGUUGACUAUAAGGGAAUUCUAAUUUCCUUAAAGGAAAAAACCCAACAAAGGAGAAGAAAAUAAAUUAUCUUUUGACCUAAUUCAUGUGCUAAAUACUAAAACUUUAUAUCUCACUGAGAGAUAAGAUAUAACAAAAGUGGGGAAAUUACUCUAUAAGAUAUGAGGGAACUUUGUUUUCAAAACUGCCACAAUGUAUCAGAAAUUAUAAGGGGUGGUCAUGGCAUAGGUGAAGCAUGAAAAUAUACUUUAUUAAAAGUCAAAUAAUGCAUAUAUCAAAAUAAACAAGAAGAGGAGUAAUGCUCACAAUGUAUCAGUGAUCGCAUGUACAAAACCUGUGGUUUCUUGGCUAUUUGGAAAAUAAUAAAAUAAAAAAUGACUUUUAAUGGACAAAUGUGAUAUACUAUUAUAAAAUGAGCCUUUCUUAAAGAUUAGGAAAAAUAGAAAUUACACAAAAAGAUAUGAGAAAAUCUGUAAUUUAAACCUUUGUGGGCGUGGUAUGAGAGCAGGUAGUACCAAAUUAAGGAGGAAAACAAUGCUGACAAAAGAAGCUGGAAUUGUAGGCAGCAUACAGGCAGGGUGCUUUGUGAAUUUCUGCCAGGGAACAGCUAUGAAGCAUCAGCAGUAGUUGGAAUGAAGAAAUAGGGGAAUGGAUAGUUUAAUGACCAUUUAAAAUAGUUACUUUGCUCUCUAAGAUACGAUAAGAAGGGUAACCAAACCCAGUGCUCCAGAACACAAGUGAUUGGCUAAAGGAGUCAGGAAGAAGCAUUUGUUGUUCUAGUUGGUGUAGCCUUGCUCAACUACUUAGGUACCGUCUAUGUGUUCCUUUCCUAGCACCAGGUAUUAUCUACUGCUGUCUGCAGAAUUCAGACAUGGAGGGCUCAAUGGUGUCCCCUGGUCUUUGGAACAUUCUGUAUUUUAAUGAUCAUGGUCUUAAACACUGAACCACAGUUCUGCCCAGUGAAAAGCACAGGUGUUCUAACAAGAAAUAAUAAUAAAUAAGAUAAUGAAGCAUACUGCAGGAUUCUGUUUAUUACAAGACUAUUUGCAAAAGACCUAUGCACCAUUCAUUGCACCUUGAAAAACACUUGAAAAUAUGGGUUGCAUUUGCAAACUUCAAUGUAUGACAUGGAAAUCUGGCAAGCUGCCUGGCAUCUACUUAAAGGAUUGUCAUUCUGGGAAAAAUAAAUUUCUCUAACUAGACAAAAGUCAAUGUUUUCAUGUUUUACUGCAAUCAAACUGAUAGAGCUGACAAUUUAAUGUCUCAACACUUAAAAUAUCUGUGGAUAAUCAGUUACCUCAAUCAAUCAUAAACACAAAUCCGUCUAUUUUCAAAGCUUGUGUCUGUGACUAAGAUAUAAAACAGUUUGGUGAGACCCAUCCCCCACAACACCUCAUCAUCUCCCCCCACCAUCAUCUCAGUAGUCCUGAUUUGUCUUUAGCUAUGCAGAUAUUUAUACACAUUAUGCAUCUGAAAAUAACUUUUAACAACUCAAGUGUGAUCAAAUUUAGAAAGUUUUCUUUCACUGUCCUGUUUUAUUUAAUUUUUAUGGGUAGUUUAUAGCCUGUAUGCCUGUCAGAAAAAUGUGUAACUGUGCUGGCAUUCCAGCUGAAGACAUCAUUACGAGUGAAAAAAUGCUCAAGGCUUUUUCAGAGUGGGUGCUGAAACAUACAUUUCCCUUCUCUGACUCCAGGGGAUGCUGGUAGCUACCCCAAACAGAGGUAUUUUGGGGUCAAAUGGUAUAGUGCUGGCCCCUUAGAAUUUCCUGGCAGGCACACCGGAUGGCUCGUUUCUGGACACUCAUCGUAAUGAUGAUGAUGAUGACGAUGAUGAUGACGAUGAUGAUGAUGAUGAUGAUGAUAAAGCAAGGGAGACAGUGACAACACAAAAAGGUGCCUGAGAGAUUGGAUUCCAGGUAGGUCUAGAUUUGGCAGAACUGACAGGUUCAGUUCACUAAGCUUUGGUAUUGAUAAUGACGGGAAACUUCAGACAGUUUUAGAAAUCUGUUUCUAUUAAGAUAUGCCAUGGCAUUUCUGCAACAUGAGAACAAGUUUACUGGGGCACACCAUUCUUUCAGCAUAAUAAGAAUUGAUGUGAGGAUUUUACAUUCCUAACAGAUAAUUACUUUGAAUACUGAAUAAGCCAAAUUUCUUGUUUGGAGUAUUUUUUGAUAUAUUUUUAAUGUAAUGGUGUAUAUGUGUGUAUAUGUAUAUAUCGACACACACAUUCACCACCAAUGCCUCCUUUUUGUUUCUUUGAUUAUUUGGAGCUUUGCAAUCAAACUAAGCAGUUUUAGAACCCUUGGGGCAGCAUCUUUUAGUUCCCCGUCAGGCAGCGUUGCAAAACAAUCAAUCUUGCUCUCACUCUCACUUGGCGGAAGUGCCACGACACGAAGAGUGCAGUGCUUUGCUCUUGCCAUGAAGCCUGGGUGACAAAAGUUUUUACAAGAAGCUGACUGUAUUUGGGGUUAUGAAUAUGCAAUGACUCUCAUUAGUAUUGAAGCACGAGAGCAGGGGCUGACAUCCCCCGCCACUCUGAGUUGCUGCAGAAUCGGCUAAUGAAUUGUCUCGCUCCCUCACUCACACAGUCUGCUGUUGUGGCUCCUGAGUUCCAAGGGGAGUUGCCCAUUUUGAGAAGACCAUUGACUGCAAAAAUUAAUUGUCAAGGACUACUCUUGAUUUCGUGAAACAAUGUGUAGACAGUGCUUAGAUUGUCAAAACAGAAAAGCACUAAACUCUGUAUAAGAUAAUAUCAUGAAUAGAAAAAUUUAGAGAGAGACACAAGAAGGUAUAUAUUAUGUACUUAUAUUCAUCAGUGUGUACAGAUAUGCUUCCAUCCUGGAUCGUUGUACAAUAUGUGUGACUGUAUAUAGAUGAAACCAAGUCACAGAAACCUGACAUUCUGUUGGUUUGUCUAUUAUCCUUCCAAAUGGAACAAAAAGAGAUGAUAGAAAAUUCCCAGAAUGAAUAGGGUUGAAACACAAAGAUAUUCCAUCAAUUCUUUACCAUAUUCUUUCUUUUGUAUUCUUGGGUCUCUGCCAAACAUUUUGCAGCUCAUACACAUACCAUCUUUCAUGAAUAUGUUACUGAUAAGGAUAUGUUUAUAGCCACUGAUUAAGAUAUCUGAGCUGAUUUGCAGUGUGUAAGAAGAUGCAAAAGAGCUCAGAAACCAUUUAGAAUGUCCCCUUUCAAUAGAAUAAAUUAAAUGUGUUUUUCCACAUCCCUCCUCCCUUGAAAUUUCCUUUCAACUAGAAGAGCACUUCUGUGACUUGCUGCAGAUUGUAAAGGAUGGAUUGAAUUGAAAUUGAUAAUAUAUGCUAAAAGGUAAGGGAUAUUUUGUAAGCUGUGCAAAUAUGGCAGUGAACAAAGAGUUAAACUCUUAUAUUAGGAUGCUUGCUUCUGUGGUCAUUUAUUAAUCUGCAAUGGAAAGUCAUCCCUUGCAAGGAAGUAGAUAUUUGUUAUUUUAUAGAGUUUUAGAGGUUAGUGUUAUUAUAAUUGCUGUAUCUGUUUGACCCAUCACUGGAAACAAGAAAAAAUAAAGUGAAAGAACCAUGUAAAUAUAAGAGUACCAAGAAUGAAUAUAGCAUAAAAAUAAAUGCAGCUCUGACAAAAGUGGCUCAAGUAUCAUACAUCAAACACUUGUUACCUCUGCUGCCUUUAGUGACUGCACAUGACUAAGAACAAAUCAGUGAUAAAAUCUUAAGAAAGAUGAAACCAGUCUGGGCCGUUGCAAAGACCAUUAGUCAUUCUACAAAGCCAUAAUAUUAUUUGUUCAAGUAAUCCUUGGCUUCCUAUUUAAUGGACAUAAUAUGCACUCCAUUCCUAGUUCAAAGCCACAAAGGGAAUUUUAAAAAAUUGGAUACAUCUUAGAGAGGACCAGUCAGACCUGA